CCAAUAGCGUAUAUUAAAGUUGCUGCAGUUAAAAAGCUCGUAGUUGAAUUUCGGGAUCAAUAUGUUUGGUCGUGCCUCGGUACGCACUGGCUUAUUGGUUUCUCCCUUCUGACGAACCAUGAUGUCAUUAAUUUGGUGUCAUGGGAAAUCAGGACUGUUACUUUGAAAAAAUUAGAGUGUUUAAAGCAGGCUCACGCUUGAAUACAUUAGCAUGGAAUAAUGAAAUAGGACGUUUGAUUCUAUUUUGUUGGUUUCUAGGAUGGACGUAAUGAUUAAGAGGGAUAGUUGGGGGCAUUAUUAUUCAAUUGUCAGAGGUGAAAUUCUUUGAUUUAUUGAAGACUAACUACUGCGAAAGCAUUUGCCAAGGAUGUUUUCAUUAAUCAAGAACGAAAGUUAGGGGAUCGAAGACGAUCAGAUACCGUCGUAGUCUUAACCAUAAACUAUGCCGACUAGGGAUCGGAUGAUGUUAAUUUUUUAAUGACUCAUUCGGCGCCUUACG
rnacentral:rRNA from 1 species